AUGGACGGCUGCACCGACGCGUACUCGGCGUCCACCAGCAGCGGGAUGCCGUGCUCCGCGCACCGCGCGCCCACGGCCAGCAGCCGGUCGUGCGCCAGCUGCAGCUCGCGCUCCUCCUCCGCCGUCAGCGCCGCCGGCUCCGACGGCGUCAGGUACAGCGGGCUCGAGUCGGACAGGAUCGGGAAGGCGUGCUGCUUCCACGGCAGGUGCACCGACGGGUUCUUGUGCUGCCACCGCAGCAGGUCGCUCGUCUUCUCCAGCAGCGCGAUCGGGCACAGCGCCGUGAUCUUGAUACACACGCUCGCCUAUCCCGGGGGCAGCUUGGCGGCGACGUCGACGGCGGCGAGGAAGCCGGCGACGUUGCGGUCGCAGGCGGCGCCGUCCUCGGCGUCCUCGAUGCCGUAG
rnacentral:rRNA from 1 species